rnacentral:rRNA from 1 species
UACCAUGCAAGUUCGAACGGUAGCACAGAAGAGCUUGCUCUUUGGGUGACGAGUGGCGGACGGGUGAGUAAUGUCUGGGGAUCUGCCCGGCAGAGGGGGAUAACUACUGGAAACGGUAGCUAAUACCGCAUAACCUCGCAAGAGCAAAGAGGGGGACCUUCGGGCCUCUCGCUGUCGGAUGAACCCAGAUGGGAUUAGCUAGUAGGUGAGGUAACGGCUCACCCAGGCGACGAUCCCUAGCUGGUCUGAGAGGAUGACCAGCCACACUGGAACUGAGACACGGUCCAGACUCCUACGGGAGGCAGCAGUGGGGAAUAUUGCACAAUGGGCGCAAGCCUGAUGCAGCCAUGCCGCGUGUAUGAAGAAGGCCUUCGGGUUGUAAAGUACUUUCAGCGGGGAGGAAGGAUUGCGGGUUAACAGCCUGCGAGCUUGACGUUACCCGCAGAAGAAGCACCGGCUAACUCCGUGCCAGCAGCCGCGGUAAUACGGAGGGUGCAAGCGUUAAUCGGAAUUACUGGGCGUAAAGCGCACGCAGGCGGUCUGUCAAGUCAGAUGUGAAAUCCCCGGGCUUAACCUGGGAACUGCAUUUGAAACUGGCAGACUGGAGUCUUGUA